AAUCUGAUAGGGCUGGUGUCCUUACAAGGUCAGGAAGAGAUCUCUCUCUCUCUCUCUCUCUCUCUCUCUGCCAAGUGAGGACACAGGAAGACGUGACCACGCAGGGAGAAGAUCGCCGUCUACAAGCCAGGAAGAGAGCCCUCACCAGCCCCUGACCCUGCUGGCACCCUGAUCGUGGACUUUCAGCCUGCAGAACUGUGAGAAAAUCAAUUUCUGUUGCUUAAGCCACCCAGGUGUUGGUAUUUUGUUAUGGCAGCCUGAGCAGACUGAGACAAGUACCUACUGCUCGAGACGUGGGUCUGAAGGGAGAGAAAUCCCCUCAUCUCUGAUUCUGUGAUUUGGUUUGCGAGCUGUUACCUGUUUGGCUGGGUGACCUCAGAGCUUUUUCUUCCCCCUUGGCGGCUCCUGCCCAUUUGCCUUCAUGACUCCUGAAAUGUUACGUCGGCACGGAGCUUCAGCCUUGCAGCUGUCUCUGGUGAAGAGAGGGCAACAGUGUGGAGGACCCUGGAGGGAGAGGUUGCUACCAGGGGUUACCUACCUCCAGAAGUUUGAGGUCUACUCUGCUGUUAUAUUCUAAUUGGAAGAGAAAUUUAACUGACAAGACUUAACACAAAAGACAAUAAACAGAAUUUUUUAGGUGGAGAAACAUAACUUGAAGAAAAAGAAGACUCUUGCUCAUCGAUUGUUCACUUUUCGUAAAUUGCAGCUACCUAGAGUUGUACAGUUGACAUGGCUCUUUCACAUGCAUCAUCUGAUUUGAUCCCCAAAACAAGCUCAAUGGGGCAAGAAACAGCUUGAUUAAAUGAUUUACCAAAGGUUACUUGGCUGGUAAAUGGCAGCACAGAAACUGGAAUGAGGAUUUUAGUUCAUCUAGUUUUUAAAAAAUCUAUUGUGUACCUAUUAUGGGUAAGCAUUGUAUUAGAUCUUGGAGACAAAAUGUGGACAGACAAAGAGGGAACAGACAGCAAACAAAAU
rnacentral:lncRNA from 1 species